UUUAUCGGAGAGUUUGAUCCUGGCUCAGGACGAACGCUGGCGGCGUGCCUAAUACAUGCAAGUCGAGCGGACAGAUGGGAGCUUGCUCCCUGAUGUUAGCGGCGGACGGGUGAGUAACACGUGGGUAACCUGCCUGUAAGACUGGGAUAACUCCGGGAAACCGGGGCUAAUACCGGAUGCUUGUUUGAACCGCAUGGUUCAGACAUAAAAGGUGGCUUCGGCUACCACUUACAGAUGGACCCGCGGCGCAUUAGCUAGUUGGUGAGGUAACGGCUCACCAAGGCGACGAUGCGUAGCCGACCUGAGAGGGUGAUCGGCCACACUGGGACUGAGACACGGCCCAGACUCCUACGGGAGGCAGCAGUAGGGAAUCUUCCGCAAUGGACGAAAGUCUGACGAAGCAACGCCGCGUGAGUGAUGAAGGUUUUCGGAUCGUAAAGCUCUGUUGUUAGGGAAGAACAAGUGCCGUUCAAAUAGGGCGGCACCUUGACGGUACCUAACCAGAAAGCCACGGCUAACUACGUGCCAGCAGCCGCGGUAAUACGUAGGUGGCAAGCGUUGUCCGGAAUUAUUGGGCGUAAAGGGCUCGCAGGCGGUUUCUUAAGUCUGAUGUGAAAGCCCCCGGCUCAACCGGGGAGGGUCAUUGGAAACUGG
rnacentral:rRNA from 1 species